UUCAUUUUAGAUGAUUUUACCUCUCUUUCUGGUUAUGAGCUCGGAUAUCUGGUCCCUCUUGAAGUGACCCUUUGUCAGUCGGUGCGGUGUGGGCUGUAUGCUCCAUUGGGAUGGGGAGUUCAGCUUUUUUGUCGUUUUCCUCUCCCAUGGUCAUUUUUGCUAAGUAUUUGUUUACUGUGAGUUAAUCCGAGCUGUGGGCAGGAUCUCUUGCUUUUGUCGUGAGUCCGUCCAUUCAGCGGAUUAAGGAGCUCAGAUUUUUGUUCUUUGCUUAGGCUUUUGCGCUACAGCUUUUGCGCUAUCUGUGUGACGGGCUCAGGAGUUUAGAAUUUCACCUUCCUCAUUGCGAAGUCAAUACUUAAUUUCUUGCUUUCUUAACGAGCCUUAUACGGGCUGUGUUUCAG
rnacentral:lncRNA from 1 species